GGAUCAUUACAGAGUAUUAAAACACUCCUGUAUAAACCAUUUGUGAACCUAUACCUUACGUUGCCUCGGCGGUCUUACCCUACAGCUUACCCUGUAGCGGGCGGACCGCCGGUGGAAAACCAAACUAUGUUUUUCUUUAGCAUCUGAGAGUCUUAUGAAAAUAAGUCAAAACCUUUAACAACGGAUCUCUUGGUUCUGGCAUCGAUGAAGAACGCAGCGAAAUGCGAUAAGUAAUGUGAAUUGCAGAAUUCAGUGAAUCAUCGAAUCUUUGAACGCACAUUGCGCCCCCCAGCAUUCUGGAGGGCAUGCCUGUUCGAGCGUCAUUAGUACCACUCAAGACCUAGUCUUGGCGUUGGGAGACUACCCGGGAGCUACCAUGUAGCUGUUACCCUGUAGCUCCUCAAAUUCACCGGCGGAGUGACGGUUCUACCUCUGAGCGCAGUAAUAUAUCUCUCGCUUCUGUAGGUGCCGUGGCCCUCGCCGCUAAACCCCCAACUUUUACUGGGUUGACCUCGGAUCAGGUAGGAAUACCCGCUGAACUUAAGCAUAUCAAUAAGCGGAGGAAAAGAAACCAACAGGGAUUCCCCUAGUAACGGCGAGUGAAGCGGGAACAGCUCAAAUUUGAAAGCUGACUUUCGGGUCCGCAUUGUAAUUUGUAGAGGAUGCUUUUGGUCAGGUUCCUUCCAAGUGCCCUGGAACGGGUCGCCUUAGAGGGUGAGAGCCCCGUACGGUUGGAAACCGAGCCUCUGUAAAGCUCCUUCGACGAGUCGAGUAGUUUGGGAAUGCUGCUCAAAAUGGGAGGUAAAUUUCUUCUAAAGCUAAAUACCGGCCAGAGACCGAUAGCGCACAAGUAGAGUGAUCGAAAGAUGAAAAGUACUUUGAAAAGAGGGUUAAACAGCACGUGAAAUUGUUAAAGGGGAAGCGUUUACGACCAGACCUUUUCUAGGCGGAUCAUCCGGUGUUCUCACCGGUGCACUUCGCCUAGUUUAGGCCAGCAUCGGUUUUCGCUGGGGGAUAAAAGCUUCAGGAACGUGGCUCCUCCGGGAGUGUUAUAGCCUGUUGUAUAAUACCCUAGCGGGGACCGAGGACCGCG
rnacentral:rRNA from 1 species